rnacentral:rRNA from 1 species
AGGGUUUGAUUCUGGCUCAGGAUGAACGCUAGCGACAGGCUUAACACAUGCAAGUCGAGGGGCAGCACGGUGUAGCAAUACACUGGUGGCGACCGGCGCACGGGUGAGUAACACGUGUGCAACCAACCCCGUACCGGGAGAUAACCCGCGGAAACGUGGACUAACAUCCCAUGAUACUCGAGGGCCGCAUGGCUCUCGAUUUAAAAUUCCGGUGGUACGGGACGGGCACGCGCGACAUUAGGUAGUUGGCGGGGUAAUGGCCCACCAAGCCGACGAUGUCUAGGGGUUCUGAGAGGAAGGUCCCCCACACUGGAACUGAGACACGGUCCAG